rnacentral:sRNA from 1 species
AGCAAACCAGCAAAGAAAAAAAGCAAACCCUAGCAAACCUUUCACAAAUGUUAAAGAGGCACUGCUCCAUUUUAGCAGUGCGGGUCAUUUUGAGUUUAAUGAAUCCCCAUCAAAUGGUGGUAUAGUAGAUAGCUAUGUGUGUUUGUAAGGUUUGUAGCUUGCAAGACGUGCACUAAUAAUAUUUUGUAUGAUCUUUCCUGGUUGGCAGGACCCAUGGAUGAAGGACCAGAUCUUGAUCUAGGCCCACCUGUAGAUCCAGAUGAAGACUCUGACAACAGUGCAAUUUAUGUACAAGGAUUAAAUGACAGUGUGACUCUAGAUGAUCUGGCAGACUUCUUUAAGCAGUGUGGGGUUGUUAAGAUGAACAAGAGAACUGGGCAACCCAUGAUCCACAUCUACCUGGACAAGGAAACAGGAAAGCCCAAAGGCGAUGCCACAGUGUCCUAUGAAGACCCACCUACUGCCAAGGCUGCUGUGGAAUGGUUUGAUGGGAAAGAUUUUCAAGGGAGCAAACUUAAAGUCUCCCUUGCUCGGAAGAAGCCUCCAAUGAACAGUAUGCGGGGUGGUAUGCCACCCCGUGAGGGCAGAGGGAUGCCACCACCACUCCGCGGAGGUCCAGGAGGCCCAGGAGGUCCUGGGGGACCCAUGGGUCGCAUGGGAGGCCGUGGAGGAGAUAGAGGAGGCUUCCCUCCAAGAGGACCCCGGGGUUCCCGAGGGAACCCCUCUGGAGGAGGAAACGUCCAGCACCGAGCUGGAGACUGGCAGUGUCCCAAUCCGUAUGUACUUGUCUUGGCAAAUUGAUACCCUACGAGUGAAGCCACCCUUCCCUCACCCCAUCCCUACUCUAGAGUGGAUUGCUCUGUCUAGAGGAACAGAAUGAUGACCCUGAUGGCUGGUUAGGGACACUAGUCAGCCAUUCACUGGAUGCUUCAGAGCCUUCUGAAGAUUGAUUUGACCUGUCCUGUGGGUGCAAUGCUGCCUGAGGCUGUGCCCUAAAGCCUGGGUGUACAUAGAUCCUCUUGAUAGUGAGUGUGUGUACCUGUUCACACACCACCUUUCCUUGUUUAUCUUCCUUAGUUCAAUUGGUGAUUUCUGCUGUGAUGUAAUUGUAUGCAGGGGUUGUGGAAACCAGAACUUCGCCUGGAGAACAGAGUGCAACCAGUGUGGUGAUCGUGGCAGAGGUGGCCCUGGUGGCAUGCGGGGAGGAAGAGGUGGCCUCAUGGAUCGUGGUGGUCCCGGUGGAAUGUUCAGAGGUGGCCGUGGUGGAGACAGAGGUGGCUUCCGUGGUGGCCGGGGCAUGGACCGAGGUGGCUUUGGUGGAGGAAGACGAGGUGGCCCCGGAGGGCCCCCUGGACCUUUGAUGGAACAGAUGGGAGGAAGAAGAGGAGGACGUGGAGGACCUGGAAAAAUGGAUAAAGGCGAGCACCGUCAGGAGCGCAGAGAUCGGCCCUACUAGAUGCAGAGACCCCGCAGAGCUGCAUUGACUACCAGAUUUAUUUUUUAAACCAGAAAAUGUUUUAAAUUUAUAAUUCCAUAUUUAUAAUGUUGGCCACAACAUUAUGAUUAUUCCUUGUCUGUACUUUAGUAUUUUUCACCAUUUGUGAAGAAACAUUAAAACAAGUUAAAUGGUAGUGUGCGGAGUUUUUUUUUCCUUCUUUUAAAAAUGGUUGUUUAACUAAGACUUUAACAAUGGGAACCCCUUGUGAGCAUGCUCAGUAUCAUUGUGGAGAACCAAGAGGGCCUCUUAACUGUAACAAUGUUCAUGGUUGUGAUGUUUUUUUUUUUUUUUUUAAAUAAAAUUCCAAAUGUUUAUAAACAGUCA